ACAUUUAUAGAGGAGGACACUCCUACAGAGAUCAGCACAGAAAUGGAUCCCAAUGCUUCUUAUCCUGGACCAAAACAGAAACGCAGGUCAUACAAAGCCGGUUUCAAACUUAUGGUUGUGUCAAGAGCGGAAGAAACCAAUAACAGUGUCGCAAGUAGGGAAUUUUGCGUUGACGAAAAACAAGUGAGGGAGUGGCGGAAAAUGAAAGCGGACUUGGAAAAGAUUCCGGAGGCGAAAAAAGCUCGACGGGGUUUAACGACGUCGUAUGUCGCUCUAGAGACUGAGUUGCAUAAAUGGAUUAUGGAGUGUCUUCGAAACGGUUACGCCGUGACGCGCAUGGGUAUUCGCUAUCGGGCCCUUCAAAUGGCUAAAGAUGACAAAUUAAAAGCACCAGGCAUCGAAAAAUUCGGGGCGUCGGCGGGAUGGUGUACCCGCUUUAUGAAUAGGUUUGCCUUAUGUUUGCCGUAGAACAAAGAUCGCGCAGAAGUUACCUUGACGAAAAAGUGAUGUCAUUCAUUCAGAAAACAAAGAAGGAUCCAUAAGUAUGACCUGGGAGAUAUUGCGAAUUUGGAUGAAACGCCUACGACCUUUGAUCUUCCAAGCAACCGAACUGUGGCAGGUUCGGGAGACAAAACUAUUUUACUUGGAACCACA